GAACGCUGGCGGCAUGCCUUACACAUGCAAGUCGAACGGCAGCACGGGUGCUUGCACCUGGUGGCGAGUGGCGAACGGGUGAGUAAUACAUCGGAACGUACCCUAUCGUGGGGGAUAACGCAGCGAAAGCUGUGCUAAUACCGCAUACGCCCUGAGGGGGAAAGCGGGGGAUCGAAAGACCUCGCGCGAUUAGAGCGGCCGAUGCUUGAUUAGCUUGUUGGUGGGGUAAAAGCCCACCAAGGCGACGAUCAAUAGCUGGUCUGAGAGGACGAUCAGCCACACUGGGACUGAGACACGGCCCAGACUCCUACGGGAGGCAGCAGUGGGGAAUUUUGGACAAUGGGGGCAACCCUGAUCCAGCAAUGCCGCGUGAGUGAAGAAGGC
rnacentral:rRNA from 1 species